UACGGAGGGUGCAAGCGUUAAUCGGAAUUACUGGGCGUAAAGCGUGCGCAGGCGGUUUGUUAAGUCCGUUGUGAAAGCCCCGAGCUCAACUUGGGAAUUGCAGUGGAUACUGGCAGGCUGGAGUACGGUAGAGGAAGGUGGAAUUCCCGGUGUAGCAGUGAAAUGCGUAGAUAUCGGGAGGAACACCAGUGGCGAAGGCGGGUCUCUGGGCAGUAACUGACGCUGAGGAGCGAAAGCGUGGGGAGCGAACAGG
rnacentral:rRNA from 1 species